rnacentral:pre_miRNA from 1 species
CUUUACGGUUGAGCAAAGAAAGUGGUUUCUUGAGAUGGAAUCUACUCCUGGUGAAGACGCUGUGAA